GACAGAGGUGCCGAGCGUUAGGCGGAAUCACUGGGCUUAAAGGGUGUGUAGGCGGACUCGUAAGUGCUUUGUGAAAUCCCACGGCUCACCCGUGGAACUGCUUGGCAUACUGCGAGCCUUGAGCCACUUAGGGGCAACCGGAACAAACGGUGGAGCGGUGAAAUGCGUAGAGAUCCGGACGAACACCGGUGGCGAAGGCGGUCUGCUGGGCAGUUGCUGACGCUGAUGCGCGACAGCGUGGGGAGCAAACAGG
rnacentral:rRNA from 1 species